ensembl:rRNA 5S_rRNA 5S ribosomal RNA
UACUGCAUAGCUUGCUCUCUGUAACUCUCACAUGGUCGCCCACUUAAGCUAAGCAGGGCUGUGCCUGGUGAGUACCUAGAUGGAAGACCACAUGGGAAAGCUAGGUUGCUGCCGAAA